GUCUAUGGCCAUACCACGUGCCCAAUCUUGUCUGAUCUUGGAACCUAAGCAGGAUCUGGCCUGGUUAGUACUAGGAUGGGAAACUGCCUGGAAAGACCAGGUGCUGUAGGCU
rnacentral:rRNA from 1 species